rnacentral:rRNA from 15 species
GGGUGCGAUCAUACCAGCACUAAUGCACCGGAUCCCAUCAGAACUCCGCAGUUAAGCGUGCUUGGGCGAGAGUAGUACUAGGAUGGGUGACCUCCUGGGAAGUCCUCGUGUUGCACCCC